rnacentral:rRNA from 1 species
UCGCCUACGGGGGGCAGCAGUGGGGAAUAUUGCAGAAUGGGGGAAACCCUGAUGCAGCGACGCCGCGUGAGCGAGGCAGUAUUUCGGUAUGUAAAGCUCUGUCAGCAGGGAAGAAGAAUGACGGUACCUGCAGAAGAAGCACCGGCUAAAUACGUGCCAGCAGCCGCGGGAAUACGUAUGGUGCAAGCGUUAUCCGGAUUUACUGGGUGUAGAGGUAGCGUAGGCGGUUUAGCA